rnacentral:rRNA from 1 species
GUGCCUACGGGGGGCAGCAGUGGGGGAUAUUGCACAAUGGGGGGAACCCUGAUGCAGCGACGCCGCGUGGGUGAAGGAGCGUUUCGGCGCGUAAAGCCCUAUCGGCAGGGAAGAAGGAGGACGGUACCUGACUAAGAAGCCCCGGCUAACUACGUGCCAGCAGCCGCGGUAAUACGUAGGUGGCAAGCGUUGUCCGGAAUUACUGGGUGUAAAGGGAGCGUAGGCGGGAAAGCAAGUUGAAUGUUUAAGGUACGGGCUCAACCUGUACAAGCGUUCAAAACUGUUUUUCUUGAGUGGGGUAGAGG